rnacentral:rRNA from 1 species
UACGUAGGGUGCGAGCGUUAAUCGGAAUUACUGGGCGUAAAGGGCGCGUAGGCGGCACCGCAAGUCGACUGUGAAAUCUCCGGGCUUAACCCGGAAAGGUCAGCCGAUACUGCGGGGCUAGAGUGCAGAAGGGGCAACUGGAAUUCUCGGUGUAGCGGUGAAAUGCGUAGAUAUCGAGAGGAACACCUGCGGCGAAGGCGGGUUGCUGGGCUGACACUGACGCUGAUGCGCGAAAGCUAGGGGAGCGAACGGG